CUCAGUGACAACCCAUAGUUCGACAUUAGUCUCAUAAGAAACAUAGCUGGAUCCUUCUUCACAGCUACAUCUAGCAAAUAAUAAAGGAAGCCUCCUGCCCUGGUAAACUUGGUGAGUAUCUCAUCACUGUCAGUUGUCAUCAGGCCAAGUAUCUGCAAACUACCAGAUGGGGAUAAGGAGAUGCUGAAUUAGAGGAACAAACAGGAAAAUUGACCUGACCAAGGUGCGUCAGCAAGAGUAAAGACUGAAACUCAGAAUCCCUUCUGGGCUCUUCCUUCCAUGCAGCACCAGCAGCACUGGUGGAGAAGGGCAGAGCUGAUGGGGACUUAGACUCUGACCUCUUGACGCCUUGUUGCAGAGCUCCACAGAGGACGUAACUCACAUGCUGUCCUGGCCUGCUGCUUGGGGACC
rnacentral:lncRNA from 1 species